UACAGAGGUCUCAAGCGUUGUUCGGAUUCAUUGGGCGUAAAGGGUGCGUAGGCGGCGCGGUAAGUCGGGUGUGAAAUCUCGGGAGCUUAACUCCGAAACUGCAUUCGAUACUGCCGUGCUUGAGGACUGGAGAGGAGACUGGAAUUACGGUGUAGCGGUGAAAUGCGUAGAUAUCGUAAGGAAGACCAGUGGCGAAGGCGGGUCUCGUGGACAGUUCCUGACGCUGAGGCA
rnacentral:rRNA from 1 species